rnacentral:lncRNA from 1 species
UCCAGACUUGUCCUUUAACUCAGGGUGCUUGGACUCCAGGCAGCAAAGCAGUUUUUAACGCUUCAUUUUUGGGUAGCCAUUUACCACACAUUAUAAAAAUCAGACUUACAGACUACCUAUUGCAAUGAACCCUAUAGUGUAAGUUGGACUCUUCGUGUAUCUGGCUUUCUUUUUGUUGGCUUCUGCUGUCUCAUCAGUGCCCUUUUCGAAGAAUAGCUCCAGUGGUAUUGUUUUGUUGUUCUUGUUGUUGUUGUUGUUGGUUGGUUGGUUUACUCAUUUUGGAAAGGAUUUACUUGUAGGUUUAUUCAUAAUGGUGACCAAGACAAGUGUGCAGUGUGGGAAAGAAGUGCAGAUGGAAAUGGUAAAUAAAAUAAUGGGCAGACCAUGCAUGGAAUAAGGGAUCAAACUCAGGACCUUGUGUUUGCGAAGCAGGCGGUGGAACCACUGAGCUAAAUCCCUGGCUUAAAUACUUCAGUUUUUGGCACCAUCAAGUGAACAGCUUUGCCCCACCAUGCCCUUCUACCAUGAUGUUUCUGCCUUGGAACCAGCCGCCCAUGAACUGACGCCCCUGAAAC